GCCCAGAUGAGUGCCAGUGGUCUGGUGUGGGCUUCAAACCCGUGGCUAAUGUGAGUCAGAGUGGUUCGAUUCCACCUUCUGGGCG